GAGAUAGUAUUUGGACUCAAAACUAUACUCUGGCUGAAAUCACUGGAAUCUUAUAUAAAAUAGUCUGCCGGAAUCCGGAAACGGGAACGGACGGAUAU
rfam:Ruminococcus sp. CAG:17 genomic scaffold, scf169